CUACGGGCCGCACCAGUGGGGAAUAUUGCACAAUGGAGGAAACUCUGAUGCGGCAACGCCGCGUGGAGGAUGACACUUUUCGGAGCGUAAACUCCUUUUAUAUAGGAAGAAGAUGACGGUACUAUAUGAAUAAGCGCCGGCUAACCCCGUGCCAGCAGCCGCGGUAAUACGGAGGGCGCAAGCGUUACUCGGAAUCACUGGGCGUAAAGAGCGUGUAGGCGGAUUAAAAAGUCAGAGGUGAAAUCCUAUAGCUUAACUAUAGAACUGCUUCUGAAACUCUUAAUCUAGAAUAUGGGAGAGGUAGAUGGAAUUUCUGGUGUAGGGGUAAAAUCCGUAGAGAUCAGAAGGAAUACCGAUUGCGAAGGCGAUCUACUAGAACAUUAUUGACGCUGAUACGCGAAAGCGUGGGGAGCAAACAGGAUUAGAUACCCCCGUAGUC
rnacentral:rRNA from 1 species